GCCUAACACAUGCAAGUCGAGCGGCAGCGGGAAGAUAGUUUAGCUAUCUUUGCCGGCGAGCGGCGGACGGGUGAGUAAUGCCUAGGGAUCUGCCCAGUCGAGGGGGAUAACAGUUGGAAACGACUGCUAAUACCGCAUACGCCCUACGGGGGAAAGGAGGGGACCUUCGGGCCUUCCGCGAUUGGAUGAACCUAGGUGGGAUUAGCUAGUUGGUGAGGUAAUGGCUCACCAAGGCGACGAUCCCUAGCUGUUCUGAGAGGAUGAUCAGCCACACUGGGACUGAGACACGGCCCAGACUCCUACGGGAGGCAGCAGUGGGGAAUAUUGCACAAUGGGGGAAACCCUGAUGCAGCCAUGCCGCGUGUGUGAAGAAGGCCUUCGGGUUGUAAAGCACUUUCAGUAGGGAGGAAAGGUAGCACCUUAAUACGCUGUUGCUGGGACGUUACCUACAGAAAAAAGACCGGCU
rnacentral:rRNA from 1 species